GUUGUAGUCUGGAGAAGCGUCUUCCGCGUUGGACCGUGUACAAGUCUCUUGGAACAGAGCGUCAUAGAGGGUGAGAAUCCCGUCUUUGACACGGACUACCAAUGCUUUGUGAUGCGCUCUCAAAGAGUCGCGUUGUUUGGGAAUGCAGCGCAAAAUGGGAGGUGAAUUCCUUCUAAAGCUAAAUAUUGGCGAGAGACCGAUAGCGAACAAGUACCGUGAGGGAAAGAUGAAAAGCACUUUGGAAAGAGAGUUAAACAGUACGUGAAAUUGCUAAAAGGGAAACGCUUGAAGUCAGUCGCAUCGUCCGGAACUCAGCCUUGCUUCAGCUUGGUGCAUUUUCCGGUUGAUGGGCCAGCAUCGAUUUUGACCGCUGGAAAAGGGCUGGAGGAAUGUGGCACCCUCGGGUGUGUUAUAGCCUUCAGUCGCAUACAGCGGUUGGGAUCGAGGAACGCAGCGCGCCUUAUGGCUGGGGUUCGCCCACAUUCGCGCUUAGGAUGCUGGCAUAAUGGCUUUAAACGACCCGUCUUGAAACACGGACCAAGGAGUCUAACAUGCCUGCGAGUGUUUGGGUGGAAAACCCGAGCGCGUAAUGAAAGUGAAAGUUGAGACCUCUGUCGUGGAGGGCAUCGACGCCCGGACCUGACGUUUUCUGAAGGAUCCGCGGUAGAGCAUGUAUGUUGGGACCCGAAAGAUGGUGAACUAUGCCUGAAUAGGGUGAAGCCAGAGGAAACUCUGGUG
rnacentral:rRNA from 1 species